GGCAUCAGUUCAGGCUGCGCGGAGGAGAGAAGGAAGUGCUGAUGUGGAGAGACAAGGUCUCACUUUGUUGGCCUCCCAAAGUGCUGGAAUUAUAGGCAUGAGCCACUGUGCCCUGCCCAAGAAUAAUGUUGAUGAGAGGAUCCGUGAGGUUCAUCUAUCUGUAGUGCUUCUGGCCAGAGAAAAGGCCGAAGAGAGAAAACCCUGAGGAACAUCUUUGACCUGCAUAGAAACUUAUCUGAAGAUUUUCAGAAUCUGAGCCUCACCCUCAGUCUAUCCCAGUUUUAUCCUGACCUGUCCACAUCUGUUAUACUCCAAGGCUUGCUGGGCCCAACACUGGAAGCUAUUUAAUGUUUCUAUUGCGACUGGCCUUUUAAAGCCAGUGGGAUUCUCCAUGCUACACUUGAGCCUGGAGACUAGAAAACAUGACAGCCUGUUUUCAUUAAUCCGUUUUCAUUAACUGCUGUGGUCU
rnacentral:lncRNA from 10 species